rnacentral:rRNA from 1 species
GGCGGACGGGUGAGUAACACGUGGGUAAUCUACCCUCGGGUGGGGAAUAACUCAGGGAAACCUGGGCUAAUUCCGCAUGAUAUUUUCGAUACAUACGUAUUGAAAAUCAAAGUUGGGGACCCUUAGGGGCCUGACGCCUGGGGAGGAGCCCGCGGCCAAUUAGCUUGAUGGUGAGGUAAUGGCUCACCAUGGCUACGAUUGGUAGCCGGCCUGAGAGGGCGGACGGUCACACUGGGACUGAGACACGGCCCAGACUCCUACGGGAGGCAGCAGUGGGGAAUUUUUGUCAAUGGGGGAAACCCUGAACAAGCAACGCCGCGUGAAGGACGAAGACCUUCGGGUUGUAAACUUCUGUCGGAGGGGACGAAGGCUAUCGUGGUUAAUACCCACGGUGGUUGACGGUACCCUACGAGGAAGCCCCGGCUAACUCCGUGCCAGCAGCCGCGGUAAUACGGGGGGGGCAAGCGUUGUUCGGAAUUACUGGGCGUAAAGGGCGCGCAGGCGGGCGGGAAAGUCUCUCGUGAAAGCCC